AGAGUUUGAUCAUGGCUCAGAUUGAACGCUGGCGGCAGGCCUAACACAUGCAAGUCGAACGGUAACAGGAAGCAGCUUGCUGCUUUGCUGACGAGUGGCGGACGGGUGAGUAAUGUCUGGGAAACUGCCUGAUGGAGGGGGAUAACUACUGGAAACGGUGGCUAAUACCGCAUAACGUCGCAAGACCAAAGAGGGGGACCUUCGGGCCUCUUGCCAUCAGAUGUGCCCAGAUGGGAUUAGCUUGUUGGUGAGGUAACGGCUCACCAAGGCGACGAUCCCUAGCUGGUCUGAGAGGAUGACCAGCCACACUGGAACUGAGACACGGUCCAGACUCCUACGGGAGGCAGCAGUGGGGAAUAUUGCACAAUGGGCGCAAGCCUGAUGCAGCCAUGCCGCGUGUAUGAAGAAGGCCUUCGGGUUGUAAAGUACUUUCAGCGGGGAGGAAGGUGUUGUGGUUAAUAACCACAGCAAUUGACGUUACCCGCAGAAGAAGCACCGGCUAACUCCGUGCCAGCAGCCGCGGUAAUACGGAGGGUGCAAGCGUUAAUCGGAAUUACUGGGCGUAAAGCGCACGCAGGCGGUCUGUCAAGUCGGAUGUGAAAUCCCCGGGCUCAACCUGGGAACUGCAUUCGAAACUGGCAGGCUUGAGUCUUGUAGAGGGGGGUAGAAUUCCAGGUGUAGCGGUGAAAUGCGUAGAGAUCUGGAGGAAUACCGGUGGCGAAGGCGGCCCCCUGGACAAAGACUGACGCUCAGGUGCGAAAGCGUGGGGAGCAAACAGGAUUAGAUACCCUGGUAGUCCACGCCGUAAACGAUGUCUACUUGGAGGUUGUGCCCUUGAGGCGUGGCUUCCGGAGCUAACGCGUUAAGUAGACCGCCUGGGGAGUACGGCCGCAAGGUUAAAACUCAAAUGAAUUGACGGGGGCCCGCACAAGCGGUGGAGCAUGUGGUUUAAUUCGAUGCAACGCGAAGAACCUUACCUGGUCUUGACAUCCACAGAACUUUCCAGAGAUGGAUUGGUGCCUUCGGGAACUGUGAGACAGGUGCUGCAUGGCUGUCGUCAGCUCGUGUUGUGAAAUGUUGGGUUAAGUCCCGCAACGAGCGCAACCCUUAUCCUUUGUUGCCAGCGAUUAGGUCGGGAACUCAAAGGAGACUGCCAGUGAUAAACUGGAGGAAGGUGGGGAUGACGUCAAGUCAUCAUGGCCCUUACGACCAGGGCUACACACGUGCUACAAUGGCGCAUACAAAGAGAAGCGACCUCGCGAGAGCAAGCGGACCUCAUAAAGUGCGUCGUAGUCCGGAUUGGAGUCUGCAACUCGACUCCAUGAAGUCGGAAUCGCUAGUAAUCGUGGAUCAGAAUGCCACGGUGAAUACGUUCCCGGGCCUUGUACACACCGCCCGUCACACCAUGGGAGUGGGUUGCAAAAGAAGUAGGUAGCUUAACCUUCGGGAGGGCGCUUACCACUUUGUGAUUCAUGACUGGGGGUGAAGUCGUAACAAGGUAACCGUAGGGGAACCUGCGGUUGGAUCACCU
rnacentral:rRNA from 1 species